rnacentral:rRNA from 1 species
UACGUAGGUGACAAGCGUUGUCCGGAUUUACUGGGCGUAAAGGGCGCGUAGGCGGCACGACAAGUCGGGAGUGAAAGCCCGGGGCUCAACCCCGGAGGGUCUCUCGAUACUGUCGAGCUAGAGUGCGGAAGAGGCAACCGGAAUUCUCAGUGUAGCGGUGAAAUGCGUAGAUAUUGGGAAGAACACCUGAGGCGAAGGCGGGUUGCUGGGCAGUAACUGACGCUGAGGAGCGAAAGCGUGGGGAGCAAACAGG